UUUUCAGUGUCGCAGCGAAAGCGAUAAACACACCGCCUGGGGAGUACGACCGCAAGGUUAAAACUCAAAUGAAUUGACGGGGACCCGCACAAGUAGUGGAGCAUGUGGUUUAAUUCGAAGAUACGCGCAGAACCUUACCAACACUUGACAUGUUCGUCGCGACUUUAAGAGAUUAAAGUUUUCGGUUCGGCCGGACGAAACACAGGUGCUGCAUGGCUGUCGUCAGCUCGUGUCGUGAGAUGUUGGGUUAAGUCCCGCAACGAGCGCAACCCUCACUUUUAGUUGCCAUCAUUAAGUUGGGCACUCUGAAAGAACUGCCAGUGAUAAGCUGGAGGAAGGUGGGGAUGACGUCAAGUCCUCAUGGCCCUUACGUGUUGGGCUACACACGUGCUACAAUGAUAUCUACAACAGGAAGCAAGACGGCGACGUUUAGCAAAUCCUUAAAAGAUAUCUCAGUUCGGAUUGCACUCUGCAACUCGAGUGCAUGAAGCUGGAAUUACUAGUAAUCGUGGAUCAGCGUGCCACGGUGAAUGCGUUCCCGGGUCUUGUACACACCGCCCGUCACACCAUGGGAGUUGGUUCUACCUUAAGGCAAGGCAUAAAACCCUUGACCACGGUAUAGUCAGCGACUGGGGUGAAGUCGUAACAAGGUAGCCGUAGGGGAACCUGCGGCUGGAUUACCUCCUU
rnacentral:rRNA from 1 species